GGAAGCCUGGUGUGCUGCAGUCCAUGAGGUUGCAAAGAGUUGGACAUGACUGAGCGACUGAAUUGAACUGAACUGAACUGAAUGAUAGCAUCUCCCUCACAGUUUCCUUGUGAGAAUUAAGUGAAUGUAUACAACAUAUUGAAAGCACUUAUAUCAGUGCUUGUCUCAUAAUUCGAUAGUUUGUUUCAGAUGGUGAUUGUCUUCAGAUUGGAUUCCCUGAAAAUACCCUGUGGUGUAGAAUUGUUUGCAGAAUGUAUAUUGAAGAGUGCAUUUGGGAUAUAUUAGCUGUAAAGAAGUGGAGAAGCUGAGCCACAUUGUGGUUACAAUUGAGGUCUUUGCUGAUCCUACAGGGAUCUCUGGAGCUGGGAUGGUCCUUCACAGUUGUCACAAAUUAAGGCAGAGAGCCUGGGCUUUGUAUCCUCAUAUUAGCCAGCACUGAUUGCUGGCUUCAUCAUAGAGAGGAUGUGCGGCCUUCAAUAAGGCAGUUCCUUUUGGACGGUGGUCUCUCUUAGUGAGAAGCAUGGGUACGAGAAGGCAGCAGCCAUGACUGGCCAGCAACUGAGAAAAUAGAUACCUCAGCUCUGAAUAGGUGAUGAGGGUGCAGCCCAAUGUAUCCACUACAGGAUUAAACAGUGAUGCGGAAAUCUAACUUCAAAUAUAGAGAAGAAAUAUCUGACAAAGAAUGAUAAACAAGUAGCUGAAGUAAUUAAUUGCCACUGCUUAAAUCUCAGUUCCUUCUACAUCUGCCAAAAAUUUGUACAUGUCAAUAAGACGCAAAUGAAACUUUAUAUAUCCCUCACCUUCAGCAGAACUAGAAGACAGAGGACAGUAUGAAGUUAUUGUAAGUAGAAAAAUGACAUCAGUUUUUAGUGGCACUGCCUCAUUAUUCCCACUGAGAGCUUAUGUGGAUAUUUAGGGGGUUCUGGAAAAACCGUGUGGAAGAGACUGUGUGAAAAUCAUCCAUAGAAGGAAUUCCCUGGCAGUUCUGGUGGUUACAACUCUACACCUUCCACUGUGGUGGGGAGGGAGGGUGUCGAUCCCUGGUCAGGGAACUAAGAUCCUGAAAGCUGUGCGGUGCGCCACUCCCCCCC